rnacentral:lncRNA from 1 species
UCCACGCCAUUCAUUCCUAUUUGAAUAAGAUUUGAUCUUAUCUCCUUUGGGGCAUGAGGGAUAGGCGGUAUGGAAUUGGUUUUGUGUGACAAAACUCAAUGUGAAGAGAGGGCGUGUGUGAGAUAUGAAGAGAGUCUUCUUUUUUACAUCACAACUUCCUCUCCCAACGCCUCCUCCUUCCUUCUCCCCUUCAUCCAAUGCCCA